rnacentral:lncRNA from 1 species
AAACUUUGUCAUUCCUGACUCAUCACACUCCCUUUCUCUCUCUUUUCUCUCUCUCUCUCCUCGUCUCACCAAACCUAACCUUAGUUAAUUACCAACCCAACCCCAUUCUCUCUCUCCAUUCACCAUUUAUUUAUUUGUCCUAACUCAACUACACCUUCACCACCAUUCUCAUUACUUAUUCAUGUCAGGGCAAUUUUGCAACCACCUCUAAUCAAAUCACUAACACUAUCUAUCUAUCUAUCUAUCCAUUUAUUUAUUAGUUUUGAGGCAUGAGUUGCAACGGGUGCAGAGUCCUUCGUAAGGGUUGCAGCGAGUCGUGUAUUUUACGACCUUGUCUUCAGUGGAUCGACACUCCUGAAGCACAAGGCCAUGCUACUAUUUUCAUUGCCAAAUUUUUCGGUCGUGCUUGUCUCAUGUCUUUCAUUUCCAACGUCCCUGAAAUUCAAAGACCUGGUUAUUUUCUAACUUAACUUCAACUUCACCUUAUUCAAUUCAUAUUUCUAUAUUCAAAUCUUGUGAGGUAACGUUUCUUUUCUUUUUCAAUAUGUAGCUUUGUUUCAAUCUCUGUUAUUCGAAGCUUGUGGACGAACAGUUAACCCAGUCAAUGGCGCUGUUGGACUUCUAUGGACUGGUAACUGGCACGUGUGUAAGGCGGCGGUUGAGACUGUGCUCCGUGGCGGCACUCUGAGUCCGAUGCCGGAGUUUCUUGCCAUUGACGCGCCGACUCCGACUUCCGAUGACGCAUCCGAAGGGGAAGUUACCUGCAACGACAUGUGGAGGUUGCGAGAUCCGAACUCCAAUUUUCGGUUCACCAGUUCAAGUUCUAAGGUCUCUUCCAGUGGAAAACGCAAACGAUCGGAGGAAAUCGAUGAUCUCAAUCUCCGAUUGACGCCAAGUUUCUUGCAGAACUCGCAAGCGUACAUUUGCCGACGAGAUAUUCGGCGGCCAGGCUCGCCGUCGAUGAAUUCGGAGGAGUCCGUGACGACGACGGCAUGCUUGGAUAGCGGGCUCGGAGAUCGUUACGCUCACGGCGAUGACAGAAAAGUCCUCAACCUUUUCGUUUGUUAGGUGGUUUGCGUAAUUUCACAAAAACUCAUGGGGUGUCAGUGUAAUUUACUCUAGAUUUUAAGUAUAAAAUUAGUGUUCAAAAUAAUAAUUAAUAUUCUUGCAUAUUUUUAAACAUCAUUCAUAGCUAAAUUUUUAUAGCUCAAGUCUCCAUCGCCAUUGCCGGGACUUAAACUUAGGUGUUCAAGCUUAUCUCAAUAAUCAAAUAUAAAUAAUGUGGGUAAACUUUUAUACUAUUACUACACUAAGAUUGUUUAUAUCAAAAGUUACUUUGAAGAGUUAAUAUUUUCUUGCUACUAAUAUAAGUAAGUAAUCACACUUUUUUAAGAUGUGCCAUUAUAUCACCUAACAAAUAUGGCCUAUAGAACUUAGUUUACGCAGAGAUCUAAUAAGACCAAAUAUCACUAUAUCCAUAAUUUGUUGAUAUUUGAAUUAUCGGUAUAGGGCAUCCAUGAGCUGAAAAUUUGUGACGAAAAGGAAAGGCAGGAAAAGAAUAUAUCCAACGGCGGAGGAACAUUCAUCCGCGGAAACACGGAGCUGCUCACGCCAAAGACUUUGGAAUCUCACCCUUCUCUACAUUCACUGAAACUUUGUCAUUCCUGACUCAUCACACUCCCUUUCUCUCUCUUUUCUCUCUCUCUCUCCUCGUCUCACCAAACCUAACCUUAGUUAAUUACCAACCCAACCCCAUUCUCUCUCUCCAUUCACCAUUUAUUUAUUUGUCCUAACUCAACUACACCUUCACCACCAUUCUCAUUACUUAUUCAUGUCAGGGCAAUUUUGCAACCACCUCUAAUCAAAUCACUAACACUAUCUAUCUAUCUAUCUAUCCAUUUAUUUAUUAGUUUUGAGGCAUGAGUUGCAACGGGUGCAGAG